UGCCAGCUGCCGCGGUAAUACGUAGGGUGCGAGCGUUGUUCGGAAUUACUGGGCAUAAAGGGUGUGUAGGCGGAAUGGUCAGCUAGGGGUGAAAGCCCGGGGCUCAACCCCGGAACUGCUCUUAGAACUGCCAUUCUAGAGAAGGUCAGAGGCUAACGGAAUUCCUGGUGUAGAGGUGAAAUUCGUAGAUAUCAGGAGGAACACCGGCGGCGGAAGCGGUUGGCUGGGGCCAUUCUGACGCUGAGGCACGAAAGCGUGGGGAGCGAACGGGAUUAGAUA
rnacentral:rRNA from 1 species